CCGAGUAGCUGGAACUACAGGCGCCCGCCAUGAUGCCCGGCUCAUUUUCUGUGUUUUCAGUAGAGACGGGGUUUCACUGUGUUAGCCAGGAAAGUCUUGAUCUCCUGACCUCGUGAUCCUGACCUCGGCCUCCCAAAGUGCUGGGAUUACAGGCGCGAGCCACCGCGCCCGACAGCAGUUAUGAAGUUCUAAAAGCAAGUCUUAAUCAGGAAGUGUCCUUGAUCACCAACGGCUCGCCCAGGCAUGCUGGCUCUCUUCCACUUCCACCUUCCACCAUGGGAUGACGCAGUAAGAAGGCCAUCAGUAGAUGCCAGUCCCUCAACCUUGAACUUUCCAGACGCAGAACUUUAUGCCUCCAUUUUCCUCUGCUGCAUGGCCCCAGGAGAGAUUUUAAUUAGCUUUCUAACCUUGGUCCAGAUUGCACAUGCAAAUGGUAGAGGAUGCAACACCCCCGCUUGUGGAGCUGCCGCUUGUGUCUGGCAUGGAUGCCCCUUCUAGAUGUUCAUGGCUCACUCCCUGCCAUGUUGUCAGGUAUUUGAGCUCUCUGUUCCCACUCAGAGUAGAUGAGCAGAAGAGGAAAUGAGGGCCUUCCCAGAGCAACUCCCCCAGAUGAACAGAGCCAGGCUGCCUGGAUUCAAUGUUAUCUUCAUUUCUUAGCUGUAUCAUCACGAGUUGUUUAAUUCCUCAGCACUUAAUUUUCUUGACCUGCAAAAAUAUGGAUCAUAAUGAUCAUUAACUAAUAAGUUUGCCAUGAGGAUUAACUGUAUAUUAAGGGCUGAUAAAAUUAUAUGUUACAAAAAAAUUCACAAGAAGAGAGGAAAUACUGAGGAGAAAAUGGCAGAUUGUGUUUGCUGAAUUUGAUUGACGAAGAAGUCACCAUGAAAAUCACAGUGAACCAUUUGGAAAGCAAACUGCCAAAAAAUAAUAGUUAGUCAUGCUCUCAGGCUGGUUGUUUUGGCUGUUGUGGGUUUCUUGCAUUUCCAGAUGAUUGCAAAGAGCUGUUUCUCAAUUUCUGCAACAAGUGCCAGCUGAAAUUUUGGUACCAGUUUCAUUAAAUAUGUAGAACAAUUUGAGCCUGAGUGAGUUCUGUGGAGCCCAUACUACCUGCGAUUCAAGCCAGCAACCUUGGAAUCUCCCUGAACAAUUUCUAUGGUGUCCAAUCACAUUUGCAAUCACUCCCCACACUCAGUAGGUUCUGCCCCCACAUCAUUUCUUUUCUCUAUCCUCUUUCCCAGCUUUAUAAUAUGACUUAGUUCAAGCCCUAAUCACUGGAUUAUUCAAAGUCCCUUAACAGGUUAAUUCCUACUGUGAUCAACACUUUAAAGGAAGGCAAUAGGGCCAGGCAUGGUGGCUCACGGCUGUAAUCCCAGCACUUUGGGAGGCUGAGGCGAGUGGAUCACAAGGUCGGGAGUUUGAGACCAGCCUGACUAACACAGUGAAACCCCGACUCUACUAAAAAUACAAAAAAUUAGCCAGGUGUGGUCGUGGGUACCUGUAGUCCCAGCUACUAGGGAGGCUGAGGCAGGAGAAUGGCGUGAACCCGAGAGGCGGAGCUUGCAGUGAGCCAAGAUUACGCCACUGCACUCCAGCCUGGGUGACGGAGCGAGACUCCAUCUCAAAAAAAAUAAAAAAUAAAUAAAACAGAAAGGCAAUGGCUAUCCCAAAUUGCUGAAGCCUUUGCUAAAAGCACAGACAGAAAACAACAAUAUGGUGAUGUUUGUGUUAAACAAAUGUUAUUGAUUCUAGGACACAGGUCAGAUGGCAAAUAGUCAAACUCAAAUGUUGAUCCCAGGGGUGGCUGUAUCAUCACUAAGGCCAAAUCACAACUUUGACUGGUCUCAUGGGAACACAGAUCUUGGGUUUGGAAAGAGCACAGGCCUGGCCAUGGGAAUGGACACAGGGUAAUUUUAAGAUGACUAGAGGUUCCUCAAACCCUAAAAGUACCACUGAACCUUGUUUAAAGCUAAAAUGGCUCCUAAAUGAUAGACACGUUUCUCAGUUAUCUCUGCAAACUGAAGAUCCUAUCAGCCUGUUCAGGGUCUCACAGGCCUCUGGGUUUGUACAUGAUGUCCCUACAGUGGCGAUGGGGACUGAUGAGAGCCACCGUUCCCAUUGGAGGAGGGCAAGCUGCCACUGAGUGUCAGCUGCUGGAGUAAACAUCCAAUCACAUGUGUACCUGUAUCCUAUGGAUAUUGGCUUCCCCUCAUACAACUUGUUGUUCCUUUGUUUUCCAUUCCUGACUAUAUUUGAAUCUUUCUUGGAUUUCCAGGAAACAUCUGACUGCUUUCCUAUGCCACUUCAUACCCAAGAGAAGCUCAGGGAGAUCCUUUAAGGUCCUUUAUGCCCAUUAUGAUAGUACAUGAAUAGGUAAAUGUACCACUGCUCCCUGUACUUCUUGGAUAAUGCACAAAUAGUAAGACAGUCUCGCAACCAGCAGCCUAGACAGCCCAAAUAUGUGAAACCAAAACAGCUUGAUCUUCCAGACCUGUUCUGACUCCUUGAGUCUUAAAUCUCCAAGCCUCUUGAAUGUUUCACCCACAGCCUUCCCUUUGGGAUCUGGCAUGGGACAGGAAGGGCAGAGAAGGGCCUGGGGCUUUUCCUCAGGGAUCCACCACAGUCUAGGCCAGUGGGUGGCAAACUUUUUCUGCAAAGGAUCAGCUGGGAGAUAGUUUCAACUUUGUAGUCUCGUCGCAGCUACUCUACUCGACUCUGCCACUGGAGUGUGAAUGCAGUCAUGAAUAAAAGAAUGAAAGUUUUCCAGUGAAACUUUAGUCACAAAAACAGUCUGCAGGCUGUGUCUGGCCCGUGGGCUUUGGUUUGCUGGCCUGCGGGCUCCUAGAAGGCUCUGACUUUAUCCCUCUAUGAGGGAAAGCAGGUUUUGGGGUAUUCUCCCAAAUCUUUAUACCUUAUGUCUGUGUCUCUUUUUAAAUUAAAAGUAAAAUUUAGGCCAGAUGCCAUGACUCACACCUGUAAUCCCAACAUUUUGGGAGGCUGAGGAGGGAGGACCACUUGGUUCCAGGAGUUCACAACCAGACUGGACAACAUAGCAAGACCUAGUCUCUACAAAAGAAAAAAAAAUGAAAAUUUAGCAGAGCAUGGUGGUGCUUCCCUGUAGUCCCAACUACUAGGGAGGCUGAGGUGGGAGGAUUGCUGAAGCCCAGGAAGUCGAGGCUGCAGUGAGUCAUUGUUACACCAGUGUACUCCAGACGGG
rnacentral:lncRNA from 1 species